rnacentral:siRNA from 1 species
GGCGGCGGUCUCUUCGACUGAUGG